AGCAUCUUGGCGCAGAGGAAGCGCGCCGGGCUCAUAACCCGGAGGUCGAAUGAUCGAAACGUUCAGUUGCUA
rnacentral:tRNA from 1 species